AUGCAAAUUGGUGUAGCAGCCUGGAAAACAAUAUGGUGGCCUCUCAAAAAGUUAAAAGUAGAGCUACUCUAUGACC